AAACGCGGCUGUUUUUACAGUAUCUGUUAGUUUUUAGUACCGUUGAGCAAAGGAGACGCAUUGCUUGCGAGGCGUGACUUGCGGGAGCGAGAUAUGCAGUUGCUGAGGGAAGACAGUCAGCAGAGAUAAGCUACAAGCUUAGAGCGCUGUCCGAACGGACCUGUCAUGCCAGUUGUGUUCAGUUUGAUUUACCGGUUACAUGUAAUGCUUCAUCUCGGUCCGUAUGUACAUAAUCGGUGGUUAUACGCUACACUACGAUAUCGUAUUACGCUGAAUUCGUUGUUGCGCGACCUCGGCGAAUACAAAAUUAUUCACUCGUUUGGGCAUAGCGUCCAGUACAUUGGAAUGAAAUAGCCAAACCAUCAGGAACACAGCAAGGAGGGUGACCAAUGGGAACACAGCAAGUAGUGCGACCAAUAGAAACACAGCAAGUAGUGCGACCAAUAGAAACACAGCAAGUAGGGCGACCAAUAGAAACACAGUAAGUAGGGCGACCAAUAGAAACACAGCAAGGAGGGCGACCAAUAGGAGCACAGCAAGUAGGGUGACCAAUAGAAACACAGCAAGUAGGGUGACCAAUAGAAACACAGCAAGUAGGGCGACCAAUAGGAGCACAGCAAGGGAGCUAAUAAUUUUUCGACUCUCAGACGGGGCGCUUAUUCGGGGAAGGCGCUUAUUUAAAUGAGCAAAAUUUCGCACAAAAGAAUAUUAUUAUUCAUUUAAUAUUAUAUUUUAUACAAUUACAACAGUUUCCUUUCUCUAUGUCAUUAUUACAACUUGAAGUCAAAUUUCAUCCAUUAAACAUUUGUCUCUUUCUUG